rnacentral:rRNA from 1 species
UUGGAGGGCAAGUCUGGUGCCAGCAGCCGCGGUAAUUCCAGCUCCAAUAGCGUAUAUUAAAGUUGUUGCAGUUAAAAAGCUCGUAGUUGAAUUUCGGGACCAUCAUGUCGGUCGUGCCUCGGUACGUACUGGUAUUGUUGGUUUCUCCCUUCUGACGAACCAUGAUGUCAUUUAUUUGGUGUUGUGGGGAAUCAGGACUGUUACUUUGAAAAAAUUAGAGUGUUUAAAGCAGGCUAACGCCUGAAUACAUUAGCAUGGAAUAAUGAAAUAGGACGUUCGAUCCUAUUUUGUUGGUUUCUAGGAUUGGCGUAAUGAUUAAUAGGGAUAGUUGGGGGCAUUAGUAUUCAAUUGUCAGAGGUGAAAUUCUUGGAUUUAUUGAAGACUAACUACUGCGAAAGCAUUUGCCAAGGAUGUUUUCAUUAAUCAAGAACGAAAGUUAGGGGAUCGAAGACGAUCAGAUACCGUCGUAGUCUUAACCAUAAACUAUGCCGACUAGGGAUCGGAUGAUGUUAAUUUUUUAAUGACUCAUUCGGCGCCUUACGGGAAAC